rnacentral:rRNA from 1 species
GACGAACGCUGGCGGCGUGCCUAAUACAUGCAAGUCGAGCGAAUGGAUUAAGAGCUUGCUCUUAUGAAGUUAGCGGCGGACGGGUGAGUAACACGUGGGUAACCUGCCCAUAAGACUGGGAUAACUCCGGGAAACCGGGGCUAAUACCGGAUAACAUUUUGAACCGCAUGGUUCGAAAUUGAAAGGCGGCUUCGGCUGUCACUUAUGGAUGGACCCGCGUCGCAUUAGCUAGUUGGUGAGGUAACGGCUCACCAAGGCAACGAUGCGUAGCCGACCUGAGAGGGUGAUCGGCCACACUGGGACUGAGACACGGCCCAGACUCCUGCGGGAGGCAGCAGUAGGGAAUCUUCCGCAAUGGACUAAAGUCUGACGGAGCAACGCCGCGUGAGUGAUGAAUGCUUUCGUGUCGUAAAACUCUGUUGUUAGGGAAGAACAAGUGCUAGUUGAAUAAGCUGACACCUUGACGGUACCUAACCAGAAAGCCACGGCUAACUACGUGCCAGCCGCCGCAGUAA